rnacentral:sRNA from 1 species
AAAAUCACAUACACACACAUAUUUAACUAUGAGAAGCUUUAAACACCAGGUCCAUAAGAGUCUCUUGGAACCAACUGCAAGCAGAGGCUUACUGCCCUGAGCUCCUAGGGCUGCUUGGAGCCAGUGAGUAGCCACAGGCAGUCAUGAACCCAGGCCUCUCCCUCCACAGAGGAUCUCUGUGGGUUUCAAGUCAUGCACACCUAUGAAUGGGGCGAAUGCUUUGCCUCUCAAACCAUGUAAGUCACCUGUGUCUCAAAAGCAGACAUCUGCCUCAGGGUUCUGUGAAGCCAGAAGGAAAGAGGUUACUUUUUCUUUUGGAGACUUUUUCUUUCGUUUAGGGUUUCCAGCCUGGCCUUCAACUGCCUAUGUAGCCAAGGAUGUCCCAAUUCUGCUUCCACUUCCUGGACUUCCGGGAUUUCAGAUUUAACCCACCAUAACUGUUUUAUGUGGUGCUGGUGAUAAAAGCCAGGGCUUUAGGCUCAGUAUGUGAGCCCUCCACCAACUUAGAUCCACCCCCAGUGCAGGAAGACGAAUUCUAAACUGAAGUUGGAGGAGGAUAGCCCCUAAAAGUUCAGUUUGGGGAUUCAAGACCUGGGGUUUUUCUAGCUAUAUGAGAUAACCUGAGAAGGUUGUGUAGCACCAGAAAUUAUGAAAGGAGCAGGGAUUUUGGAGACAGCCCAAAGUGGAGAUUUCAAUUUGCUUUUAUCGUCUGUGUCUUGAUUUGGGAAAAGUAUCAAGGCUUUCUACAUUUGAGAACCUGAUUUUUGGUUUUUGGAGACAGGGUUACUCCAUGAAGCCUUCGCUUUGUUGGAACUCAUCCUAUAGCCAAGGCUGGUCUGGAACUCACAGACAUCCACCUGCCUCUGCCUCCUGAGUGCUGGGGUUAAAGGCAUGCUCCACUAAGUCUAGUUCAGAAUCUUUAUUCAAAUGACCGGGAUAACAACCUCUGUCUUACAUGGCUGUUGUGUGAGCUGUUGUCACAUGACACAAGGACCUCAUCCCUCCUAGGUAGAAAUGCUGCUUCUCCAGGAUGUGUCGCAUGCCUCUGGAAAUUAUGUUGAUGUGCCAAAGAGAGAUAAUUGGGUGAACUUUGCUACCACCACAGAAUUUCCUUAACAAACAUUUGAGGAUGCCAGCAGGGUCUGGGGGCACUGAUUCCAGGCAAUGACCAUAAUUUGCACCCGAUUUAAAGUAUCUCAUCAUCGGAGAGACUUCCUUACAGUCUUGGUCUGGGUCCAGUUAAAAUCAGAUUUGUCUGCCUUAAAUGUACUCAGAAUACUUGGGCUGACCAUCACGAGAGAGUAUCACGCCACGGCCUGGGACCAGAUCGUCUAGAACCUGAAGCCCGAUUUCCGCUGAAUAACGCAUGUUGCUUUUCAUUGUUGUAAAAUAAAAUCACGUCGAAGCAUCGUAAGUUGGAGGCCUAUACUUUGAAUUGAAUGACAUUGGAUGGACUCAUAAGUAAGUCUCCCUCCUAACUUCUGCCCCUCUCUUCUCUCCCCCUUCUCUCUCCUGAAGCAGGAUAAGGAAACUAGAGGCCCACACAUUUUCAUAAACUCAACCAUGAAGUAUAGAAGCAUUAUUUUAGCUUUGCUUAGAGUUUCUUAGCGAGGUUGACUAAGAAAUUCCUCAACUCAUCAAGUUCAUGAGACCCUGUCGUGCUGACCCUAUUCCUAAGGAGAAGGGCGCUACAUGAGGACCCAAGAGCCACCAGACAGGCCUUACUGAGCCUCCGUGGGUCUCUAACUGUACCAGGAGCGCCUCUGGAGUUCCCUUUGCUGUCCUGAAGGAAGGGCGGCCCAGUCUUCGCCAUCCCUGACUCCAUUCUGGACUCUAAAUUCAAGUCCAUGCUGGCCCCAUGACCUUGAAUAAAUUCUCUAACCACGUUAGCAAAUCUUGUUUCAUGGAUCCCCACUCCUGUGGGGGAACCUGGAGGGAGGCCAUGUGCAAAGUGCUAAAGCCACAAGGCCCACAGACAAUUUAUCUUUAUUUCACAGAUAAGAAACUGAAAUUGGCAGAAAUUACCUGACAUGUGCAAAAACCGUCUGCUUACCAGACAGAGACCAGCUCUGGGUUCUCUCCCCAGAACCAUGUAAACUGGUGUGCGGCACAAACCUGAAAAUCCAGCUAGGGUCAUUCUCUAUUGCAAGACGGAGGCCAGCCCCAAAUAGAUUUUGUCUCGAAAGAAAAAACCAAGAGUGCUGAGGCUAAAGUCUCUCCAGCAGCACAUUCUACACAGAUCACGCCAGUUCAGGGAGCCUGGAUUUCCCAGCCCUCAGAGGAAAGUAAGGUCCUUCACGCCGACAGAAAGCCACUGGGUAUCGCUGUGAUGUUACCACCGUCUCCUACGCACCCUCUAAGUUCUCUCCAUCUGAGCUCACUGAUGGAUCAGCCUUGCUGAUGUCAUCAGAGUAAUCAUUUACUGCUCUACCGUUCGAUCGGACACAACCAUAUGCAUGAUAUGUAACAUAUACUACGUAUACUACAUCUUUAUUCUACCCUCCGAUGUUUCCCAAUUUGAAAAAAAGAUACUCGGAUUCACUAUCGUGCCUGAGUUUACUUAAACCACUUGGACAGACAGAGGAUUUUUUUUUUUAUCAUGGGGGUGUGUGUUAUCCUAUUUGCUAUGUUUCUAAAAAUCCUUGAAGAUCAAUGUUACCCACUAAUCUAUAUAAAAUUUUGAUGCUAAAUACUUUUCUUCCUGCUAUCAGGAGCAAGACAAGAACAUUGCUUUCUAUAAAUGUGUCAGGAUGGAGAGGAAGCGGUAACACUGUGCUCCUCCAUAGAUCAUGCCCUAUUGCACGGAGGAAAUCUCAAAGAAGCCAUCAGCCUACCUACUCAGGUUAACAAGUCAGUUGCUGGGCCCCAGGGAAAAAAAAACACCCAGUCCUCAGCACUGAAAAAGGAAAAGGGAGAGAGAGGGAAGAAGAAGGGAAAGCAGUCAUACAAAAACAUUAUUUUCUUCUAUAUUUUAACAACAAGGAUCCAAAGACAAGAGUCAAUAGAACAGUAGCAGCAAGAAAGCUACUGUUAAAAGUGGCAGCCGUUAAACACUGCACAACACUGAUGCAAAGAAUGAAAGACAAUCUAAAGGCAAAGAUGACAUUCUGCGUCUAAGAUACUCGCUCCAUAUCUGUGAACUAGAAGCUCACUCUUGCUGUCUUAAGAUAAAAACUGUCCUCACGUGAGAAGUCAACACAUGUCUACCAAAUCCUAACAGCCUCUCCCCUCAACCUCUCCCCUUCUCAACAAGUUUUUCCUAAAUUUUAUACGGAAAUUCAAAGGACCUAGAAAAGCCACCUUUAAAAAUACUAAUUGGUUCAUUAGUUUGUUUAUUUAGGGACAGAGUCUCUC